UGGGGAAUAUUGGACAAUGGGCGAAAGCCUGAUCCAGCCAUGCCGCGUGUGUGAAGAAGGUCUUCGGAUUGUAGAGCACUUUAAGUUGGGAGGAAGGGCAGUAAGCGAAUACCUUGCUGUUUUGACGUUACCGACAGAAUAAGCACCGGCUAACUCUGUGCCAGCAGCCGCGGUAAUACAGAGGGUGCAAGCGUUAAUCGGAAUUACUGGGCGUAAAGCGCGCGUAGGUGGUUCGUUAAGUUGAAUGUGAAAGCCCCGGGCUCAACCUGGGAACUGCAUCCAAAACUGGCGAGCUAGAGUAGGGCAGAGGGUGGUGGAAUUUCCUGUGUAGCGGUGAAAUGCGUAGAUAUAGGAAGGAACACCAGUGGCGAAGGCGACCACCUGGGCUCAUACUGACACUGAGGUGCGAAAGCGUGGGGAGCAAACAGG
rnacentral:rRNA from 1 species